rnacentral:rRNA from 1 species
AGUGAACGCUGGCGGUAGGCCUAACACAUGCAAGUCGAACGGCAGCACAGUAAGAGCUUGCUCUUACGGGUGGCGAGUGGCGGACGGGUGAGGAAUACAUCGGAAUCUACUUUUUCGUGGGGGAUAACGUAGGGAAACUUACGCUAAUACCGCAUACGACCUACGGGUGAAAGCAGGGGAUCUUCGGACCUUGCGCGAUUGAAUGACCCGAUGUCGGAUUAGCUAGUUGGCGGGGUAAAGGCCCACCAAGGCGACGAUCCGUAGCUGGUCUGAGAGGAUGAUCAGCCACACGGGAACUGAGACACGGUCCAGACUCCUACGGGAGGCAGCAGUGGGGAAUAUUGGACAAUGGGCGCAAGCCUGAUCCAGCCAUACCGCGUGGGUGAAGAAGGCCUUCGGGUUGUAAAGCCCUUUUGUUGGGAAAGAAAAGCAGCAGGUUAAUACCCCGCUGUUCUGACGGUACCCAAAGAAUAAGCACCGGCUAACUUCGUG